UACGUAGGGGGCAAGCGUUGUCCGGAUUUAUUGGGCGUAAAGAGCGUGUAGGCGGCCAGAUAGGUCUGUUGUGAAAACUCGAGGCUCAACCUCGAGACGCCGAUGGAAACCAUUUGGCUAGAGUCCGGAAGAGGAGAGUGGAAUUCCUGGUGUAGCGGUGAAAUGCGCAGAUAUCAGGAAGAACACCAAUGGCGAAAGCAGCUCUCUGGGACGGUACUGACGCUGAGACGCGAAAGCGUGGGGAGCGAACAGG
rnacentral:rRNA from 1 species